rnacentral:snRNA from 1 species
AUACUUACCUGGCAGGGAUGAUUCCAUGAUCACGAAGGUGGUUUCUCCAGGGCGAGGCUUAUCCAUUGCACUCCGCAUGGGCUGACCCCUGCGAUUUCCCCAAAUGCGGGAAACUCGACUGCAUAAUUUGUGGUAGUGGGGGACUGCGUUCGCGCUCUCCCCUG